rnacentral:rRNA from 1 species
CGCUAGCUACAGGCUUAACACAUGCAAGUCGAGGGGCAGCAUGGUCUUAGCUUGCUAAGGCCGAUGGCGACCGGCGCACGGGUGAGUAACACGUAUCCAACCUGCCGUCUACUCUUGGACAGCCUUCUGAAAGGAAGAUUAAUACAAGAUGGCAUCAUGAGUCCGCAUGUUCACAUGAUUAAAGGUAUUCCGGUAGACGAUGGGGAUGCGUUCCAUUAGAUAGUAGGCGGGGUAACGGCCCACCUAGUCUUCGAUGGAUAGGGGUUCUGAGAGGAAGGUCCCCCACAUUGGAACUGAGACACGGUCCAAACUCCUACGGGAGGCAGCAGUGAGGAAUAUUUGGUCAUGGGCGAGAGCCUGAAUCAGCCAAGUAGCGUGAAGGAUGACUGUCCUAUGGGGUUGUAACUUCUUUUAUAAAAGGAUAAAGUCNGGUAAUGAUAACCGUUUGCAUGUACUUUAUGAAUAAGGAUUCGGCUAACUCCGGUCCCAGCAGCCGCGGUAAUACGGAGGAUCCGAGCGUUAUCCGGAUUUAUUGGGUUUAAGGGGAGCGUAGAUGGAUGUUUAGUCCAGUUGUGAAAGUUUGCGGCUCAACCGUAAAAUUGCAGUUGAUACUUGAUAUCUUGAGUGCAGUGAGGCAGGGCGGAAUUCGUGGUGUAGCGGUGAAAUGCUUAGAUAUCACGAAGAACUCCGAUUGCGAAGGCAGCCUGCUAAGCUGCAACUGACAUUGAGGCUCGAAAGUGUGGGUAUCAAACAGGAUUAGAUACCCUGGUAGUCCACACGGUAAACGAUGAAUACUCGCUGUUUGCGAUAUACGGCAAGCGGCCAAGCGAAAGCGUUAAGUAUUCCACCUGGGGAGUACGCCGGCAACGGUGAAACUCAAAGGAAUUGACGGGGGCCCGCACAAGCGGAGGAACAUGUGGUUUAAUUCGAUGAUACGCGAGGAACCUUACCCGGGCUUAAAUUGCAGAUGAAUUACGGUGAAAGCCGUAAGCCGCAAGGCAUCUGUGAAGGUGCUGCAUGGUUGUCGUCAGCUCGUGCCGUGAGGUGUCGGCUUAAGUGCCAUAACGAGCGCAACCCUUGUUGUCAGUUACUAACAGGUUCUGCUGAGGACUCUGACAAGACUGCCAUCGUAAGAUGUGAGGAAGGUGGGGAUGACGUCAAAUCAGCACGGCCCUUACGUCCGGGGCUACACACGUGUUACAAUGGGGGGUACAGAGGGCCGCUACCACGCGAGUGGAUGCCAAUCCCCAAAACCUCUCUCAGUUCGGACUGGAGUCUGCAACCCGACUCCACGAAGCUGGAUUCGCUAGUAAUCGCGCAUCAGCCACGGCGCGGUGAAUACGUUCCCGGGCCUUGUACACACCGCCCGUCAAGCCAUGGGAGCCGGGGGUACCUGAAGUGCGUAACCGCGAGGAGCGCCCUAGGGUAAAACUGGUGACUG